rnacentral:rRNA from 1 species
UACGUAGGGGGCAAGCGUUGUCCGGAAUCAUUGGGCGUAAAGCGCGCGUAGGCGGCCCGGUAAGUCUGCUGUGAAAGUCCAGGGCUCAACCCUGGAAGGCCGGUGGAAACUGUCGGGCUAGAGUCCGGAAGAGGCGAGUGGAAUUCCCGGUGUAGCGGUGAAAUGCGCAGAUAUCGGGAGGAACACCAAUGGCGAAGGCAGCUCGCUGGGACGGUACUGACGCUGAGACGCGAAAGCGUGGGGAGCAAACAGG